GACAGGGACAUGGAGGUGAUGGGGACAUGGAGGUGAUCAUGGACAUGGAGGUGCUGGGGACAUGGAGGUGAUGGGGACAUGGAAGUGAUGGGGACAUGGAGGUGAUCAUGAACAGGGAGGUGAUGGGGACAUGGAGGUGAUCAUGGACAUGGAGGUGAUGGGGACAUGGAGGUGAUCAUGGACAUGGAGGUGAAGGGGACAUGGAGGUGAUCAUGGACAUAGAGGUGAAGGGGACAUGGAGGUGAUGUGGACAUGGAGGUGAUCAUGGACAUGGAGGUGAAGGGGACAUGGAGGUGAUCAUGGACAUAGAGGUGAAGGGGACAUGGAGGUGAUGUGGACAUGGAGGUGAUCAUGGACAUGGAGGUGAAGGGGACAUGGAGGUGAUCAUGGACAUAGAGGUGAAGGGGACAUGGAGGUGAUGUGGACAUGGAGGUGAUCAUGGACAUGGAGGUGAGGGGGACAUGGAGGUGAUCAUGAACAGGGAGGUGAUCAUGGACAUGGAGGUGAAAGGGACAAGGAAGUGAUCAUGGACAUAGAGGUGAAGGGGACAUGGAGGUGAUGUGGACAUGGAGGUGAUGUGGACAUGGAGGUGAGGGGGACAUGGAGGUGAUCAUGAAGAGGGAGGUGAUCAUGAACAGGGGGGUGAUGUGGACAUGGAGGUGACGGGGACAUGGAGGUGAUCAUGGACACGGAGUUGAUGGGGAAAUCACAGGUCACAAAGUGACAGAGUUUGACUUCAGGAGGAGAAAAAUAAGAUCUUGUUUUAUAAGACAAAAUAACAUUUCCCGUAUUAUUAGCAUCUUAUAUAAAUCAUUUUCAGUGGAAUGGUCAUAAAGGUAUUAUAUAGUAAUGUUGUUGACAUAGAUAUGACAUCCACCUUAAAUACACAAACACAAUUAUCAGUUUAACUUUAACUUUAAUACAGAUCACACCCUGACUUUAUUACAUUUAUUUAGUCUAUUAACCGUAUUUACAAUGUAUAUUAUUUCAAGUAUUUACUUUUAUAUCAUUAGUAGUGUUUAUUAAGCAUACUUCCUCAUCACACCCUAAAACUAAUUCCACUGUGGGAAAACACCCUGAAUGACACACACACACACACACACACACACACACACACACACACACACACACACACACACACACACCAAAGUGUAAAUAAAUGCUUGUGCAAACACAGAAUUCCCACACAUCAGUAAUAACGUACAAACACAUACUGAUCACACACUAUGCUCAUCUGUAUGACAGUUACAUUCCUGUUCUCACAUCCGCUCCACUCUGGAUGAAUAUAAAUGGUGUGCACUCCAUGCAGGAAGUGUGGUCUAUUGCAUAACACACACACACACACACACACACACACACACACACACACACACACACACACAUAUAUACAAAUUAUACAUUGUCACUCUCUCUCUUCAUGAUUGAAAAAUAUUUCAAAGUCAUUAUUAAGCCUUUGAUGGAUUAAAACAUUUCUUAUCACUCUGAUUAUUUUACAUUUUGAUUGGACCUGAUGGAUUACAUAAUAAUCAUAUUUAAAUCAUAGUCUGAUCAAAGAAAUUCUUCUAUACUAUUUAUAUAGCCAUCAGUUCUGUUGUAAAUACUGUAAUAUUAGAUACAAUUUUAAUAAUUCAUUAUUUAAAAUAAGGAAUAUAUACAGCUGAUGCAGUGCUGCCACCGUGUGGUGGUCUCAUUUCCGGUUUGUUUUCGAUGCGCUGUCUUUUUUUUCUCUUCAAGAGGUGAAUACAAAAACACAAAACACAUGCAUCCAAAAAUAAACGUUUAUCACAAAAUUAUA
ensembl:lncRNA